rnacentral:rRNA from 1 species
UACAGAGGGUGCUAGCGUUGUUCGGAAUCAUUGGGCGUAAAGGGCGUGUAGGCGGCUUGUUAAGUCAUGUGUGAAAUCCCUCGGCUCAACCGGGGAACGACGCAUGAAACUGGCAAGCUAGAGUACCAAAGAGGGGGGUGGAAUUCCUGGUGUAGCGGUGAAAUGCGCAGAUAUCAGGAGGAACACCGGUGGCGAAGGCGGUUCUCUGGGCCUGUACUGACGCUGAGGAGCGAAAGCGUGGGGAGCAAACAGG